rnacentral:rRNA from 1 species
UGGGGAAUAUUGGGCAAUGGGGGAAACCCUGACCCAGCAACGCCGCGUGAAGGAAGAAGGCUUUCGGGUUGUAAACUUCUUUGACCGGGGACGAAAUUUGACGGUACCCGGAAAACAAGCUCCGGCUAACUACGUGCCAGCAGCCGCGGUAAUACGUAGGGAGCAAGCGUUGUCCGGAUUUACUGGGUGUAAAGGGCGCGUAGGCGGAUAUGCAAGUCAGAUGUGAAAUCUGAGGGCUCAACCCUCAAACUGCAUUUGAAACUGUGUAUCUUGAGUGAUGGAGAGGCAGGCGGAAUUCCUAGUGUAGCGGUGAAAUGCGUAGAUAUUAGGAGGAACACCAGUGGCGAAGGCGGCCUGCUGGACAUUAACUGACGCUGAGGCGCGAAAGCGUGGGGAGCAAACA